rnacentral:rRNA from 1 species
UAAACGGACCAUCGAGUAUCCAUUGGAGGGCAAGUCUGGUGCCAGCAGCUGCGGUAAUACCAGCUCCAAUAGCUAUAUUAAAGUUGUUGCAGUUAAAAAGCUCGUAGUUGGACUUGUGUGCGCUGUCCGCGGGUGGCCUGCGCCCAAAAGGGCGUUUCGGUUCGGCCCCGGUGGCGCCUUGAAAUCUGCAGCUGGGGGGACGUUGGCCUUAACUGGUCGGCGACCGCACGCCGGCUGCUCGGUUACUGUGAGAAAAUUAGAGUGUUCAAGGCAGGCAUUGGGUGCAAUUGAAUACAUUAGCAUGGAAUAAUAAAAUAUGGCUCCUGCCGUAUUUUGUUGGUUUUGACUGGUGGGAGUAAUGAUUGAUAGGGACGGUUGGGGGUGCUAGUAUUGAGCGGCCAGAGGUGAAAUUCAUGGAUUCGCUCAAGACUAACUUAUGCGAAAGCAUUCACCAAGGACGUCCUCUUUAAUCAAGAACGAAAGUUGGGGGAUCGAAGACGAUCAGAUACCGUCGUAGUCUCAACCAUAAACUAUGUCGACUUGGGAUCGGCGGUAGUUUUUUCAUUAAGACACUGUCGGGACCACGGGAGAAAUCAAAGUGUCUGGACUCUGGGGGAAGUAUGGUCGCAAGGCUGAAACUUGAAGGAAUUGACGGAAGGGCACCACCAGGAGUGGAGCCUGCGGCUUAAUUUGACUCAACACGGGGAAACUUACCAGGUCCAGAGAUGUAGAGGAUUGACAGAUUGAAGCUCUUUCUUGAUCACUUCGGUGGUGGUGCAUGGCCGUUCUUAGUUGGUGGAGUGAUUUGUCUGGUUAAUUCCGUUAACGAACGAGACCUCAGCCUGCUAGUGUAGUCGGCUGGAUUGCCUUUGGCGAUCCGUGAUUUCGACUUCUUAGAGGGACAAUCGACGCGCAGUCGAUGGAAGUUUGAGGCAAUAACAGGUCUGUGAUGCCCUUAGAUGUUCUGGGCCGCACGCGCGCUACACUGCUGGGCUCAGCGAGUUUUACUUGGCCGAGAGGCCCGGUUAAUCUUGUGAAAUCCCAGCGUGCUUGGGCUCGCCUCCUGCAACUGGAGGCGCCAACGAGGAAUUCCUAGUAGACGCAGGUCAUCAACCUGCAUCGAUUACGUCCCUGCCCUUUGCACACACCGCCCGUCGUUCCAUAAGAGUGAGGCAUCCGGUGAAUUCUCGGGAGAGCCUGGGCGUGGCCAGCAAUGGUCUGCUCGGGUUUGAACUUGCAUAGACUUGGUGCCUAUGAUUAGGG